GAUGAACGCUGGCGGCGUGCCUAAUACAUGCAAGUCGAGCGAACAGACGAGGAGCUUGCUCCUCUGACGUUAGCGGCGGACGGGUGAGUAACACGUGGAUAACCUACCUAUAAGACUGGGAUAACUUCGGGAAACCGGAGCUAAUACCGGAUAAUAUAUUGAACCGCAUGGUUCAAUAGUGAAAGACGGUUUUGCUGUCACUUCUAGAUGGAUCCGCGCCGCAUGAGCUAGUUGGUAAGGUAACGGCUUACCAAGGCAACGAUGCGUAGCCGACCUGAGAGGGUGAUCGGCCACACUGGAACUGAGACACGGUCCAGACUCCUACGGGAGGCAGCAGUAGGGAAUCUUACGCAAUGGGCGAAAGCAUGACGGAGCAACGCCGCGUGAGUGAUGAAGGUCUUCGGAUCGUAAAACUCUGUUAUUAGGGAAGAACAAAUGUGUAAGUAACUAUGCACGUCUUGACGGUACCUAAUCAGAAAGCCACGGCUAACUACGUG
rnacentral:rRNA from 1 species